rnacentral:rRNA from 1 species
UACAGAGGUCUCAAGCGUUGUUCGGAAUCACUGGGCGUAAAGGGUGCGUAGGCGGGUCUUUAAGUCAGGGGUGAAAUCCCGGAGCUCAACUUCGGAACUGCCCUUGAUACAGCACGUCUUGAGUCCGGAAGAGGUGGGUGGAAUUCCUAGUGUAGAGGUGAAAUUCGUAGAUAUUAGGAAGAACACCGGUGGCGAAGGCGGCCCACUGGUCCGGUACUGACGCUGAGGUGCGAAAGCGUGGGGAGCAAACAGG